rnacentral:rRNA from 1 species
GAUGAACGCUGGCGGCGUGCCUAAUACAUGCAAGUCGAGCGAACAGACGAGGAGCUUGCUCCUCUGACGUUAGCGGCGGACGGGUGAGUAACACGUGGAUAACCUACCUAUAAGACUGGGAUAACUUCGGGAAACCGGAGCUAAUACCGGAUAAUAUAUUGAACCGCAUGGUUCCAUAGUGAAAGACGGUUUUGCUGUCACUUAUAGAUGGAUCCGCGCCGCAUUAGCUAGUUGGUAAGGUAACGGCUUACCAAGGCAACGAUGCGUAGCCGACCUGAGAGGGUGAUCGGCCACACUGGAACUGAGACACGGUCCAGACUCCUACGGGAGGCAGCAGUAGGGAAUCUUCCGCAAUGGGCGAAAGCCUGACGGAGCAAAGCCGCGUGAGUGAUGAAGGUCUUCGGAUCGUAAAACUCUGUUAUUAGGGAAGAACAAAAGUGUAAGUAACGAUGCACGUCUUGACGGUACCUAAUCAGAAAGCCACGGCUAACUACGUG